CCUACGGGGUGCAGCAGUGGGGAAUAUUGCGCAAUGGGCGAAAGCCUGACGCAGCGACGCCGCGUGAGGGAUGAAGGUCUUCGGAUCGUACACCUCUGUCAGCAGGGAAGAACGGUCACUGUGCUAAUCAGCAGUGAAUUGACGGUACCUGCAAAGGAAGCACCGGCUAACUCCGUGCCAGCAGCCGCGGUAAUACGGAGGGUGCGAGCGUUAAUCGGAAUUACUGGGCGUAAAGCGCUCGUAGGCGGUAUGUCAAGUCAAGGGUGAAAUCCCCGCGCUCAACGUGGGAACUGCCUUUGAAACUGGCAAACUGGAGUGUGUGAGAGGAUAGUGGAAUUCCAGGUGUAGGAGUGACAUCCGUAGAUAUCUGGAGGAACAUCAGUGGCGAAGGCGACUAUCUGGCACAUAACUGACGCUGAGGAGCGAAAGCGUGGGUAGCAAACAGGAUUAGAUACCCCUGUAGUC
rnacentral:rRNA from 1 species